UGUGUCCUACGGGGCGCAGCAGUGAGGAAUAUUGGUCAAUGGGCUUACGCCUGAACCAGCCAAGUCGCGUGAGGGAAGACUGCCCUAUGGGUUGUAAACCUCUUUUGUCGGGGAGCAAAGAGGCCACGUGUGGUCAAAAGCGAGAGUACCCGAAGAAAAAGCAUCGGCUAACUCCGUGCCAGCAGCCGCGGUAAUACGGAGGAUGCGAGCGUUAUCCGGAUUUAUUGGGUUUAAAGGGUGCGUAGGCGGGACGGUAAGUCAGCGGUAAAAAUGCGGAGCUCAACUCCGUCGAGCCGUUGAAACUG
rnacentral:rRNA from 1 species